rnacentral:rRNA from 1 species
AGAGUUUGAUCCUGGCUCAGGACGAACGCUGGCGGCGUGCCUAAUACAUGCAAGUCGAGCGAGCUUGCCUAGAUGAAUUUGGUGCUUGCACCAAAUGAAACUAGAUACAAGCGAGCGGCGGACGGGUGAGUAACACGUGGGUAACCUGCCCAAGAGACUGGGAUAACACCUGGAAACAGAUGCUAAUACCGGAUAACAACACUAGACGCAUGUCUAGAGUUUAAAAGAUGGUUCUGCUAUCACUCUUGGAUGGACCUGCGGUGCAUUAGCUAGUUGGUAAGGUAACGGCUUACCAAGGCAAUGAUGCAUAGCCGAGUUGAGAGACUGAUCGGCCACAUUGGGACUGAGACACGGCCCAAACUCCUACGGGAGGCAGCAGUAGGGAAUCUUCCACAAUGGACGCAAGUCUGAUGGAGCAACGCCGCGUGAGUGAAGAAGGGUUUCGGCUCGUAAAGCUCUGUUGGUAGUGAAGAAAGAUAGAGGUAGUAACUGGCCUUUAUUUGACGGUAAUUACUUAGAAAGUCACGGCUAACUACGUGCCAGCAGCCGCGGUAAUACGUAGGUGGCAAGCGUUGUCCGGAUUUAUUGGGCGUAAAGCGAGUGCAGGCGGUUCAAUAAGUCUGAUGUGAAAGCCUUCGGCUCAACCGGAGAAUUGCAUCAGAAACUGUUGAACUUGAGUGCAGAAGAGGAGAGUGGAACUCCAUGUGUAGCGGUGGAAUGCGUAGAUAUAUGGAAGAACACCAGUGGCGAAGGCGGCUCUCUGGUCUGCAACUGACGCUGAGGCUCGAAAGCAUGGGUAGCGAACAGGAUUAGAUACCCUGGUAGUCCAUGCCGUAAACGAUGAGUGCUAAGUGUUGGGAGGUUUCCGCCUCUCAGUGCUGCAGCUAACGCAUUAAGCACUCCGCCUGGGGAGUACGACCGCAAGGUUGAAACUCAAAGGAAUUGACGGGGGCCCGCAC